rnacentral:rRNA from 1 species
AGAUUGAACGCUGGCGGCAUGCCUUACACAUGCAAGUCGAACGGUAGAGUAGCAAUACUCGAGAGUGGCGAACGGGUGAGUAAUAUAUCGGAACGUGCCCAGUCGUGGGGGAUAACGUAGAGAAAUUUACGCUAAUACCGCAUACGAUCUACGGAUGAAAGCGGGGGAUCGCAGACCUCGCGCGAUUGGAGCGGCUGAUAUCA